rnacentral:rRNA from 1 species
UACGGGAGGCAGCAGUGGGGAAUAUUGCACAAUGGGCGCAAGCCUGAUGCAGCCAUGCCGCGUGUAUGAAAAAGGCCUUCGGGUUGUAAAGUACUUUCAGUCGUGAGGAAGGUGUUAAGGUUAAUAACCUUAGCAAUUGACGUUAGCGACAGAAGAAGCACCGGCUAACUCCGUGCCAGCAGCCGCGGUAAUACGGAGGGUGCGAGCGUUAAUCGGAAUUACUGGGCGUAAAGGGCACGCAGGCGGUUAAUUAAGUUGGAUGUGAAAUCCUCGGGCUUAACCUGGGAAUGGCAUUCAAGCUGGUUAGCUAGAGUCUUGUAGAGGGGGUAGAAUUCCAUGUGUAGCGGUGAAAUGCGUAGAGAUGUGGAGGAAUACCGGUGGCGAAGGCGGCCCCUGGACAAAGGCUGACGCUCAUGUGCGAAAGCGUGGGGAGCAAAC